UACGUAGGGGGCUAGCGUUGUCCGGAUUUAUUGGGCGUAAAGAGCGUGUAGGCGGCCAGGUAGGUCUGCUGUGAAAACUCGAGGCUCAACCUCGAGACGUCGGCGGAAACCAUCUGGCUAGAGUCCGGAAGAGGAGAGUGGAAUUCCUGGUGUAGCGGUGAAAUGCGCAGAUAUCAGGAAGAACACCCGUGGCGAAGGCGGCUCUCUGGGACGGUACUGCCGCUGAGACGCGAAAGCGUGGGGAGCGAACAGG
rnacentral:rRNA from 1 species